CCCAGAUGUAAUGCACAACAUCACAUGAGACAAAAGAAUGACAAGGCGUCUUAUGGAUGGAGAAUCUUUGCCCCAACCAAAGGCAGAAACUUGGACACUCCUGAAGCUGACGAAAACAUGGACACUCCUGAAGCAGAUCGAUUGCUCCCUGUGCAUAAUGUACGCAAAAGCAGAACAAGAAGACCAUGGACCAAAGUGGAGAAAAAUGCUGUGCU